rnacentral:rRNA from 1 species
UACGAAGGGGGCUAGCGUUGCUCGGAAUCACUGGGCGUAAAGGGUGCGUAGGCGGGGCUUUAAGUCAGGGGUGAAAUCCUGGAGCUCAACUCCAGAACUGCCUUUGAUACUGAGGAUCUUGAGUUCGGGAGAGGUGAGUGGAACUGCGAGUAUAGAGGUGAAAUUCGUAGAUAUUCGCAAGAACACCAGUGGCGAAGGCGGCUCACUGGCCCGAUACUGACGCUGAGGCACGAAAGCGUGGGGAGCAAACAGG